AUCUAUCUAUUACUAUAUACUAAAGUAGAACCCUUUAUGAACCCUAUGUGAGAAGCUGACACGUGGCUUUCUAUAUGCUUGCCACGUGUCAAGCUCAAAUAUAGAUUUUUACUGUAUUAUAUCUAUUCUAUUUACUAUAUUAUUAAAUUCAAAUGGUAUGAAGGGGAUUUUAUUUCAAAGUCACCUAUAAUUAUAUUGAGAUAUUUGAGAAAUUCACGGAUAUUACGUUGCGAAACAAUUGGCGGGUGCGGAUAUUACGCGUUAGAAGGAAAAUAUUUAUCUUUAUUUGUGAAUAAAUUAUUACUUAGUUAAUUAUUUGAAAUGAUUGGUUAAAAAUUACUGGACCUAAAAAUAUUAGUAAAAAAUGAUAGAGACAUUUUUCGUAACGUGGCUUUCUAUAUGCUUGCCACGUGUCAUCAUAUCUAUUCUAUUUACUAUAUUAUUAAAUUCAAAUGGUAGGUGGAUUAAUAAGAUAUUUGAGAAAUUCACGAAUAUUACGUUGCGAAAGAAUUGGCGGGUGCGGAUAUUACGCGUGAGAAGGAAAAUAUUUGAGAAACGUGUAGAUAGAAAAUAUGAUAUAAAUGCGAGGGUAAUAUUGUCACAAAAAGUAACAGAUACUUUUAUUUUCAAUCAUUAGAUAAGAUCUAAUGGCAAAAAAUUAAUAUCUUUUACUAUAUUAUUAAAAAUCACCUAUAAUGAAGGGGAUUUUAUU
rnacentral:lncRNA from 1 species